AAAACAUGUCCUUUUGUUUAUAAAUAUGAGGUCUAACCUGCCCAAUGAUUAAUAAUUUAAUGGCCGCGGUAUAUUAACUGUGCUAAGGUAGCAUAAUCAUUUGUCUUUUAAUUGAAGGCUAGAAUGAAGGGUUGGACGAAACAUAAACUUUCUUUAACUUAACUAAUGAAUUUAAUUUUUUAGUCAAAAAGCUAAAAUUUAUUUGAGGGACGAGAAGACCCUAUAGAUCUUUAUAUAAUUGUCUAUUAUAUAUUUUAGAAAAUCAAUUAUUUUAAUAGUCCAUUUUAUUUGGUUGGGGUGACUGUAGAAUAUAAUUUAACUUCUAUUUAUCAAUUGUCAUUAAUUAGUGUUAUUUUGAUCCAGUAUUUAUUGAUUAAAAGAUUAAGUUACCUUAGGGAUAACAGCGUAAUUUCUUUGAAGAGCUCGUAUCAAUAGAGAAGUUUGCGACCUCGAUGUUGGAUUAAAAUAAGUGUUGGGUGCAGGAGCUCAACAACUAGGUCUGUUCGACCUUUAAACUUUUACAUGAUCUGA
rnacentral:rRNA from 1 species